rnacentral:rRNA from 1 species
CCUACGGGAGGCAGCAGUGGGGAAUAUUGCACAAUGGGGGAAACCCUGAUGCAGCGACGCCGCGUGAGUGAAGAAGGAUUUCGGUAUGUAAAGCUCUAUCAGCAGGGAAGAAAAUGACGGUACCUGUUUAAGAAGCUCCGGCUAACUACGUGCCAGCAGCCGCGGUAAUACGUAGGGGGCAAGCGUUAUCCGGAUUUACUGGGUGUAAAGGGAGCGUAGACGGCAGCACAAGUCUGGAGUGAAAUGCCGGGGCUUAACCCCGGAACUGCUUUGGAAACUGUGCAGCUAGAGUGCAGGAGAGGUAAGUGGAAUUCCUGGUGUAGCGGUGAAAUGCGUAGAUAUUAGGAGGAACACCGAUGGCGAAGGCAGCUUACUGGACUGUAACUGACGUUGAGGCUCGAAAGCGUGGGGAGCAAACAGGAUUAGAUACCCUUGUAGUC